UAAGUUAAAUAAUAUUACUAAUAAGAUCUAAUGUGAAUUGUUUUCUAUCAUUCAGGCAUGGUUAAACCCUAGUUCUCUCAGGUAUUGCCUUCUCUGUGGGGAGAUUCAAUGAUGUGGUUACUGUAGACACAAGAAAGAAUGUUCUUUAGUUAAUCCAAGUCCUCUUUUCUCUUGUUUUGAUGUCAAGUGCAAGAUACACAAAUUCAAGUUGAUGAUAGUUCCCAGUGGAUGAAAGCAAUGGCUCUAGUCUGAGUUGUGGCAGUCCUUGAAUCCUGUGAGUAUCAGCAGGGUUCCUGGUGUGUGCUGAUGUAAUCCCUAGGUCACAGAACACUGAUGCUGGCUUGCAUCAUAAUAGCCCUGUUGGUAUGUUGAGCACUGGUCAGGACAGUGAUUUAGUGAGGAAGUAGUUUCUCUACUGAUUUGUUGUUCGUGAGUGUACAAGUGAACUAGUUUGAUUCUUCGUUAUACUGAUUGGAGUGACUCUCUGAAGAGGAGGUGAAUUUGAAGAGGUGAUUUGUUGUUCGUGAGUGUACAAGUGAACUAGUUUGAUUCUUCGUUAUACUGAUUGGAGUCACUCUCUGAAGAGGAGGUGAAUUUGAAGAGGUGAUUUGUUGUUCGUGAGUGUACAAGUGAACUAGUUUGAUUCUUCGUUAUACUGAUUGGAGUCACUCUCUGAAGAGGUGAACCAUGAAGCAGAAACGAAAAAGGAAGCAUCUAGAAAGGACAAGUUCCCCCCAAACUGUCAAGAGGUCAAAAGACAAUACUCUGGUCCCUGAGGCAAAAGGUGAAUCCUCUGAAUCAGAAUACUUCUCCUGCUAUUCCUCCUUGAGUCAUCUGUCUUCUGCAGGAAUCUCAAAAUCAAGCAAAUUUGAUCCACCACCUGGCCACUGUUUGGAAGACAAUACUCUGGUUCCUGAGGCAAAAGGUGAAUCCUCUGAAUCAGAAUACUUCUCCUGCUAUUCCUCCUUCAGUCUUCUGUCUUCUGCAGGAAUCUCAAAAUCAAGCAAAUUUGAUCCACCAACUGGACCCUCUUUGGAAGACAAUACUCUGGUCCAUGAGGCUAAAGGUGAAUCAUCUGAAUCAAAAUACUUCUGCUAUUCCUCCUUGAGUCAUCUAUUUUCUGCAGGAAUCUCAAAAUCAAGCAAAUUUGAUCCACCACCUGGCCACUCUUUGGAAGACAAUACUCUGGUCCCUGUGGCAAAAGGUGAAUCCUCUGAAUCAGAAUACUUCUCCUGCUAUUCCUCCUUGAGUCAUCUGUCUUCUGCAGGUAAGGGGCAAGGAAAGGCAUGCAAAGUCAAGAAGAUUAGGGCAGUGGGAGCCUGAACAGACUGGUAGACACCCAGCUAAGCAUCUCUCAGCUAGUGGGAGAAAGGUACACAUCAGACCCAGUUAUAAUCUUAUCCUCA
rnacentral:lncRNA from 12 species